GUGGAUUAGAUACCCGGGUAGUCCACGCUGUAAACGAUGUUCACUCGCUGUUUGCGAUACACAGUAAGCGGCUGAGCGAAAGCAUUAAGUGAACCACCUGGGGAGUACGAUCGCAAGGUUGAAACUCAAAGGAAUUGACGGGGGCCCGCACAAGCGGAGGAACAUGUGGUUUAAUUCGAUGAUACGCGAGGAACCUUACCUGGGCUUAAAUGUAGAUUGCAUAAUUUAGAAAUAGGUUUUCCCUUCGGGGCUAUUUACAAGGUGCUGCACGGCCGUCGUCAACU
rnacentral:rRNA from 1 species